AUGCCCUACCUCUUAUAAAGUUUUUCUUUCAGAAUAUUUUUGUGACCGCGCGCAAUGCGGUUGGUAGAAUCAGUGCUUGCUGCGUUAAAUCACAUUUAAUAUUGACUUAGAGCAUAACAACUUUCAUUAAAUUUAAUUAUAAUAAUCAGACGCGAAAUUAGAGUCAGUGUGUUCGUCGAUUGUCAUUUGACUUAAACAGACGCGUCAAUAGUCUAUUAUUCUUUUUUUUUUUUUUGUUACACAUUCGUUUUCGGUAGUAGAGUCGCAGGUCUCGCAAGAGGAUAAAGCCUUUCCUGGAGCUCAAGAAUGUUUUUCAUAACUUCCAUCUUUUUUCCUCAUCUUUGGGAAGGAUGUAGCGGUGUUUUAAAUUUAUACAUGUAUGCCACUUCUUCCCCUUCUUCCUGUUCCCUGGAAAAUACCUAGCGGUGUUUCAAAAGCCAAAAAU